AACGAACGCUGGCGGCGUGCCUAACACAUGCAAGUCGAGCGCGAAAGUCCCUUCGGGGGCGAGUAGAGCGGCGGACGGGUGAGUAAUACAUGGAUAAUCUGCCCUCGAGAUCGGGAUAACCCUGCGAAAGUGGGGCUAAUACCGAAUAAGACCACACAACACAAGUUGUGUGGUAAAAGGUGGCUUGAAUUUAUUCUGGCUAUCACUUGAGGAUGAGUCCAUGGCCUAUCAGCUUGUUGGUGGGGUAAUGGCCUACCAAGGCUAUGACAGGUAGCUGGUCUGAGAGGACGACCAGCCACACUGGGACUGAGACACGGCCCAGACUCCUACGGGAGGCAGCAGUGGGGAAUAUUGGGCAAUGGGCGAAAGCCUGACCCAGCGACGCCGCGUGGGUGAUGAAGGCCUUCGGGUUGUAAAGCCUUUCGUGCGGAAAGAACAGUCCUGUGGCGAAUACUCGCAGGAUUUGACGGUACCGCAGGAAGAAGCACCGGCUAACUCCG
rnacentral:rRNA from 1 species